rnacentral:rRNA from 1 species
CAGCCGCCGCGGGAAAACGAAGGGGGCUAGCGUUGUUCGGAAUUACUGGGCGUAAAGGGCGCGUAGGCGGCCAUUCAAGUUAGAUGUGAAAGCCCUGGGCUCAACCUAGGAAUUGCAUUUGAUACUGUUUGGCUUGAGUUCGGGAGAGGUGAGUGGAAUUCCCAGUGUAGAGGUGAAAUGCGUAGAUAUCGGAAGGAACACCUGUGGCGAAAGCGGCUCACUGGACCAUUUCUGACGCUGAUGCACGAAAGCUAGGGGAGCAAACAGGAUUAGAUACCCGGGUAGUCCCUGUCUCUUAUAC